GACGAACGCUGGCGGCGUGCUUAACACAUGCAAGUCGAACGGAAAGGCCCUGCUUUUGUGGGGUGCUCGAGUGGCGAACGGGUGCGUAACACGUGAGUAACCUGCCCUUGACUUUGGGAUAACUUCAGGAAACUGGGGCUAAUACCGGAUAGGAUCUCCUGCUGCAUGGUGGGGGUUGGAACGUUUCGGCGGUUGGGGAUGGACUCGCGGCUUAUGAGCUUGUUGGUGGGGUAGUGGCUUACCAAGGCUUUGACGGGUAGCCGGCCUGGGAGGGUGACCGGCCACAUUGGGACUGAGAUAGGGCCCAGACUCCUACGUGAGGCAGCAGUGGGAAAUAUUGCACAAUGGGCGGAAGCCGGAUGCAGCAACGCCGCGUGCGGAAUGACGGCCUUCGGGUUGUAAACCGCUGUCGCCUGUGACGAAGCGUGAGUGACGGUAAUGGGUAAAGAAGCACCGGCUAACUACGUG
rnacentral:rRNA from 1 species